rnacentral:antisense_RNA from 1 species
CUUGAUCGACCCCAGCCAGAGCGGAGCCUCGCGGUCCUGGCCGUACGUGGCGAGCAAGGCCUGCGCCUC